rfam:Camelus ferus unplaced genomic scaffold scaffold701, whole genome shotgun sequence.
GGUAUCUCAGUGACAGAGUGUGUGUUUAGCAUACACGAGGUCCUGGGUUCAAUCCCCAGUACCU